CCUACGGGAGGCAGCAGUGAGGAAUAUUGGUCAAUGGGCGUAAGCCUGAACCAGCGACGCCGCGUGAGUGAAGAAGUAUUUCGGUAUGUAAAGCUCUAUCAGCAGGGAAGAAAAUGACGGUACCUGAGUAAGAAGCUCCGGCUAAAUACGUGCCAGCAGCCGCGGUAAUACGUAUGGAGCAAGCGUUAUCCGGAUUUACUGGGCGUAAAGGGGGCGUAGGCGGCCUGCCAGGUCUGAUGUGAAAUACCGGGGCUCAACCCCGGGGCUGCAUUGGAAACUGGCAGGCUGGAGUGCCGGAGAGGAAGGCGGAAUUCCUGGUGUAGCGGUGAAAUGCGUAGAUAUUAGGAGGAACACCAGUGGCGAGGGCGGUGUGCUGGACGGUGACUGACGCUGAGGCUCGAAAGCGUGGGGAGCAAACAGGAUUAGAUACCCGAGUAGUC
rnacentral:rRNA from 1 species